UCUCUCCCUCUCUCCUCCUUGAGAGUAUGUGUGUGUCCCUAACAGGAGUGUGCAAUUAGCUGGUGGUUGCUGCUGCUUUGUCUCCGCGGCUGUCUCCGCGGCCGCUCUGUCUUUAUUAAAGACUGUCCAUACUAAAGACGUUGUCUCCACUAAAACUGUCAUCUGUAAUCACCCUGCUGGAGCUCGUUCCUGGGCUGCUAAAUGCGCAACCGCGCUCAAUAGAUCUGGUGUAUUGCAGCCGAGCUGCUGCCCGCUGUUGACGGCCCACACCGUGCCCCCAGAACACUGAUUCGGACUUUGAUCCAGACCCGGAAUGAGUGUUUUAUUAUAAGUGUUUAUUUUAGGAUUAUUUUGUACACCAUGUUAUUUUAGGAUUAAAAUGGGCAGUCACUGAUUUUGUUAACAUUUGAUUUUGUGUUUGUUUUUGUUGAUUUGCCCACUAAUUUGUUUAUCCCUUUUUCUUUAGUUGCUGGAGACUGG